UACGGAGGGGGCGAGCGUUAUUCGGAAUUAUUGGGCGUAAAGGGCGCGUAGGCGGCUUGAUGUGUCAAAGGUGAAAUCCCUCGGCUCAACUGAGGAACUGCCUUUGAAACUGUCUGACUUGAGGCCGGGAGAGGGUAGCGGAAUUCCCAGUGUAGCGGUGAAAUGCGUAGAUACUGGGAGGAACACCGGUGGCGAAGGCGGCUACCUGGACCGGUUCUGACGCUGAUGCGCGAAAGCGUGGGUAGCAAACAGG
rnacentral:rRNA from 1 species